AAGGAACUUGUAUGAUUUCUAACUAAUUACAAAUGACUCCUUCUUUUCGAAGUCUGUUGAAAAGAAAAUUAAAAGAAAAUCACAAAAUAUGGAAUUUAGAAAGAACGAAGUUGUUUGAUACGCAAUGGUAGAAAGAAAUCAACCCUGGCGAAGAUAUUUCAAGCAGAGACGUUGUACAUUGGAAUUAGAAGUUUGGCCUCCACGCUAUCAUCGCCUUAACCAAUAUGAUGCUGUAUGUUCACUUCAUGCCAUAAAGAAUCAAAGAUGUCUGUCAUGUAUGCCUUCAGUCCAACAUCCGUACAGUUCUUGGGCCGACGCGACUAGGAUAGAAAUUUUCUUUUCGUUAUGAGAAAUGUUUGAGUGGAUUUUACGGUCCCCUGUGUGCGCGUUGACGACGAAAAAUGCGGAUAUUUCAUGGUCACCGCAUUUAGUAACGCGUGCGCAUUUAUGGUAUUCAAGUAUCUCGAAGAAUUAUAGCCAUCGCCUAAUAGAUUCGGCCUAAUCUCAACAGUUUCUCGUUGAUUUCCUCGCUGAAGUUUUACCGCUUUCGCAUCUUAAGAAGUUGCACAAUAUUCCACAUCGAAAUGUCUGAUGACACGAGUGUACGAGUCGCUGUGCGAAUAAGGCCUCAGGUAGCGCGUGAAGUAAUUGAUAUGUGUAGAAUAUGUACACAAGUACCUCCAGGGGAACCCCAGGUCUUUCUUGGACCAGACAAGGCCUUUACAUAUGAUUAUGUCUUUGAUACCGGUAUUGGGCAAAGCAUAAUUUAUGAAACGUGUGUUGCACGUUUGAUAGAAGGUGCAUUAGAUGGAUAUAAUGCGACCGUUCUUGCUUAUGGCCAGACUGGCUCUGGCAAAACUUACACCAUGGGCACUGGAUUUGAUGUAGAAGUCGAUGAAACUGUGGUUGGCAUUAUCCCCAGAGCUAUUAGACACUUGUUUGAUGGGAUUGUAGAGAAACAGAAACAUGCCAGAGAAUGUGCACAAAUGCCUCCAGAGUUUAAGGUUACUGCCCAAUUUUUGGAAUUGUAUAAUGAAGACUUAAAGGAUUUAUUGGAACCUGGUGGACCUAGAGGUGGUGCUAGAAUUCAUGAAGAUACUUCUGGCAACAUACAUUUAGCUGGAGUAGAACCAAGAAUUGUAACUAGUCCUGAACAAGCCUUAGAAUAUUUAAGACUGGGAGCAUUGUCGCGUACAACUGGAUCUACCCAAAUGAAUACUCAGUCAUCAAGAUCGCAUGCAAUCUUUACAUUGCAUAUAAAGCAACAGAGAUACAUCAAAGUUGAAGAUCCAGAUGCUGAUGUUGAUACAAGUGGCACAGAACCAGCAAGUGAAUUUGAAACUUUAACUGCAAAGUUUCAUUUUGUUGAUUUAGCUGGUUCAGAAAGAUUAAAGAGAACCGGUGCCACUGGAGAUAGAGCAAAAGAGGGGAUAUCUAUAAAUUGUGGAUUGUUGGCUCUGGGUAAUGUAAUUUCUGCGCUUGGGGACAAGGCAAAAAAGGCUCUACAUGUACCAUACAGAGAUUCAAAAUUGACUAGAUUACUCCAAGAUUCACUAGGAGGCAAUAGUCAAACUGUUAUGAUAGCAUGUGUCUCACCAAGUGACAGAGAUUUUAUGGAAACUUUAAGUACCCUUAAGUAUGCGAAUAGAGCGAGGAAUAUUAAGAACAAAGUCACAAUUAACCAAGAUAAGAGCUCAAGAACAAUUGCUUCUCUUCGGCGAGAAAUUCAGCAACUUCAAUUAGAAUUAAUGGAAUACAGACAAGGCAAAAGGGUUGUCGGAGAGGAUGGUGUAAACGAUGCUUGGCAUGAAAAUCAAAUGUUAAAUAGUGAAUUGCAAAGUCUUCGUACUAGAGUAAAAGCUCUUUCGGAAACAGUUGAAGCACUGACGGCAAAGAAUGUUCUUCUGCUGGCAGAAAAAGCUACUGGUCAGUGGGUAUCAACGGAUGGAAAUAGCGAAGUAACAAGUUUAGUACAAGGAUACGUUCGAGAGAUAGAAGAGUUAAGGGCUCGCCUUUUGGAAGCAGAGGCUAUGUAUCAGCAGCUAAAGAAACGACAAAUGCAGGUCAAUGCAGCAAAUCCUUAUGGCGAUUCUGGAUAUAUAUGUCAUAGCGAUUCUGUGUCGAUAUUAAACGAUGCUAAGAAAGAGGUUCAGAAAGAAAUUGAAGCUUUAACCGCGUUACGAGAACAACAUGCACAGACUAUUAACACUGCCAGUAAAACAGGGGAUGAAGGGGAAGGUGAUGAUACAGAAAUGGCUCAAGAUUCUGUAAGCGAAGACGAAUCGGAUGAUGAUUCUGAUAGGAAAGAAGAGGAUGAAGAAGAAGAAGCGAUGGGCCGUGAAUUAGAAGCGUUAACAUCCGACAUCGAUGUAAAACAACGAUUAAUACAAGAACUUGAACUCUCCCAAAGACGCUUGCAAACGAUGAAACAACAUUAUGAAGAUAAACUUGCUCAGCUACAAGCACGAAUUAAAGAUACCCAGGAAGAAAGAGAUAAGGUAUUACACUCUUUGCAACAGCAACCAACCCCGCAAACAGAAAAGGUAAAAAAAUUACGCGACGAAUACGAGAAGAAACUUUCUGCCAUGCAAAAGGAAAUGCAACUUUUAAAGUCUGCAAAGAAAGAGCAUGCGAGGUUGCUUAAAAAUCAAUCUCAGAAUGAAAAUAGGUUAAGAGGAUUAAGAAACGAAUUGGCAGAGAUGAAGAGAGCAAAAGUGAAGCUUCUAAAUAAAAUGCGCGAGGAGGCGCAGAGACACAAAGAGAAUGAACUAAGACGAAAUAGGGAAAUAGCACAACUGCGGAAGGAGAGUAGAAAGAAUGCGAAUAUGAUUCGUACGCUUGAGGCUGAUAAAAGAAUGAAAGAGGUGGUGCUUAGACGCAAACAAGAAGAAGUAUCGGCAUUGAGAAAAAGGGACAGAGGCCUUAGCCUGAAAGCUGCGGGCAGAGCACCGCCUAAGCCGAUUAAUCCAAAGGCAUUGAAACAGAGGUGGCAAACGUUCGAGAGAACUAUCGCGAAACAAGCAUUGGCUAAACAAGCUGCAGCAGAAACGGAGAGAGAAAUGGAAAGGCUUCUUCAAGAACGAGAAGAGUUGGGUAGGGAACUAGAAAAGCUUCAGAAGCACAGAAAUGUUAUAGCAAGUUCAAGAGGAGAUACGAAUGAUAUCGACGAAGAGAUUGAUAACGUCAAAAGUAAAAUUAGUUAUUUGCAGGAUAGCAUUGCCGAAUGUCAACGUGACAUGGUGGAAAUGGGCGAUGGAGAAGCUGAAGGCGAACCCGGUGUCGAAGCGCUUAUAUCGACGAUUCAAUCAGUAGACGAAGCUCAAUAUUUAUUACAAAGAAUGCUAGCAUUCACCGUGGAACAAAGUUGCGUAGCCGCUCAAAAACAACACGAAAUUCGUGAUAUGGAAUCGCGAUUAAAUCAAGUUGCACAAGAAAGUGAUGUACAACAUCAGUUGCUAGAACACGUAUUACGAGAUAGAGAUCUAUUGUCUCUUACAAAUAAUCAUCACAAUACGUCGACUUAUAGUCCUCUAAGUUCAAGAAGCUCGUCGCCAGAUAAUGAAAAUUAUAAUCAAGUUAUAUUCGGAGAAGAGAAACAACGUAAUAAUAAAGUAAGAAGAAGAACUACACAACCUCAGGAACUUCUUUAUGGCGUUCAAGCCAGUCAGGAUAAUUUGAAGACAGAAGAUCAAAGUCAGAAUCAUAAUCAUCCACUCACGAGAGUACCGAGUGCGCCUGGUAGUUUAAAGGGUUUAGUAUUAACAAGAAGUCAGCAUAGUAUAGGUGGUGGAUCUCCGACUUUAAGUCGGCGCGAUAGCACAUCGCCAAGGCCAUUGCGACGACCACUUCACCCGGGUGGAGGCUCCAUGGAACAGGUAGCUCAUACAGACGUGUCAUCACCACCUGGAUCACCAACUACCUACCGACGAUUCAACAGUCGAGAAGAAAACGUUUUCUCUAGGCUAACUGCGAGUAGGCAACCAGCAUCAACAGAACCACAGCCUAUGAAAGGAAUUAUUUCUCAGUAUCAAGGCAAGAUACAACCAAGAGCGGUUUUACAUUGUUCUCAUGUAGCAGAGGGACACAGUAAAGCUGUUUUAACAAUGUGUGCAACUGCAGAUUUACUAUUCAGUGGUUCAAAAGACCGGACUGUUAAAGUAUGGGAUCUAGGAACAGGAAUUGAAAACCUUACACUAACUGGUCAUCCAAAUAACGUGGUUGCAGUGAAAUACUCUCCACUGCAUGAUUUAUUAUUCAGCGUUUCUUCAGCUUAUGUAAAAGUUUGGGAUUUGAGAGCGGGGAACAAUUGUAUUAAAACUCUAUAUUCGUCCGGCCAAGUCCAGAGUGGGCCGAUCACGUUAUCAACAACAUCUAGGAUGCUUCAACUUCCUGUCGGUGAAACAACUAUCAAUGAUUUGGUACUUAGUACCGACGAACAAGAAUUAUAUACUGCAUCCAGUGAUAAAGUUAGAGUAUGGGAUCUUCGUAAAUUAACGUGUACUGGAAGAUUAAGUACACCACACACGGCAGCAGUAAUGUGUUUGGCUGUUGCGGAGGAUGGUAAAGUGAUAACAGGCAGCAAAGAUCAUUUGAUAUCCCUUGUUGAACCAAAUACAUCCGGUCAGUCGAUCAGCCUGGCACCACCACAUUAUGAUGGUGUCCAAUGUUUAACAACUUGCGAUUCAACCCUAUUUUCUGGGUCGAGGGAUAUGUGUAUUAAACGCUGGGAUCUGAGCAGGAUGGAAUUAGUCCAGUCGCUAAAUAAUGCACACAAAGAUUGGAUUUUAGGCUUGUGUAUGGUUAACAGUGGAACUGUAAUGAUAUCGGGUUGUCGAGGAGGAACAUUGAAGGCAUGGUCUGUACCAAAGGAUCAAGGGGAAUGUAGUCCAAUAGGAGAAGUCAGAGCGCAUGGUUCUGCUAUUAAUGCUGUAAUAACUAAUCAGCAACACAUUUUUACUGCAAGCAACUCUGGGGAGGUGAAGCUGUGGCGUAUUCCCGAUUCCUCAAUAUCCAUGUCUAUUUCCACAGUUUCUCUUUAACUUAUCUUUUUACUUUGCUGCAUAUUAUUUUUUUGCAUUUAUAGGUUGUUGAUGUGGUAAUGCGCAUGCCUGUCUAAACACACUUUGCUGUUGUUCAAAAGUGUGUGGACAUGUCUGUCAUAAAAGACCUGAUAUAAAUUGACGGAACGGUGAAGCUGUGGAACUACUGUAAGAGAGAUGCAAGAACUUUCCAGAGAAGCAACUCAUUGAAAAGUUAAUACAUGCACCUAAGAUAAUGUAUUUAUUUUAUGACUAUAAUAUUUUUUAUUUAUUUGUUAAUUUAUAACACGAUAGAAUAUUAAUAUGAUAAUUUGAAAUGAUAAUGCACCUGACUUAUUGCUUGCUGGUUUUGAUAUUUUAUUUUUUGUGAACAUGUAUGUAUAAAUGUGUUUUUUGUUUUUACACGUCUUGUAACUUCAGUUUUGUAUGUUACCGUCUUAUAUUAUUUAAUAUAAGUAUCAAAUAUUAAUUGAAUUUAUAAACAACUUUUAAACAAUAAACAGAAACAUUUUUCAUAUAAAUAAUAUACGGUCCAAGAACGUCAUAUUAAAAAUUGAAUUUAGCAAAAAUUAAGUGCAUUAUCGCGAGGUAGUUCAGCAUAGGAUUGAAAGAAAUUUAUUUAAUAAGAACAAAUUUGGUAUUACCUAGCAUUUAUUUUAUUAUGAACAUUAAGGUGGUAAUAAUUAUAAUAUUUACUUUUAGUACAAACAAUAAUUGUUGAUUAAUACUGUACAGUCUGAGGUCUCUGUAGGUCCCAAAUGCUUGAUAUUGUCAGGGUUGGCUGUUAUUUAGUUUUCUUCUAAAAAUUUAAAAACAGUAUUAUGCUUAAUUAUAUUUAUAAUUAUAAAAAAUAAAUUGAUUCAAA